rnacentral:rRNA from 1 species
AAAAAUUUUAAUUUAAAUUAUAUUAGUAUUAGUUAAGUUCUUGAAAGUAAAAAAAUUUGGUAGUAAUUUAAUCUAUUUAGAGGAACCUGUUCUGUAAUUGAUAAUCCACGAUUUGAAUUAUUUAUUUUAUUAGUUUAUAUAUCGUUGUAUAUGAAUAUUUUUAAAAAAUUAAUAUUCAGUUAGUAGAAGUUUACAAAAAUUCAAAUCAAGGUGUAGCUUAUAAAUAAAUAGAAAUGGGUUACUAUAUGAAAUUAUUGAAUUGUUAAUUUUAAAUUAAUAUGAAAAAGGAUUUAAAAGUAAUAUUAUUAAUUUAAUAAAAUGAUUAGAGUUCUAAAUUAUGC